UACGAAGGGGGCUAGCGUUGCUCGGAAUCACUGGGCGUAAAGGGUGCGUAGGCGGGUCUUUAAGUCAGGGGGGAAAUCCUGGAGCUCAACUCCAGAACUGCCUUUGAUACUGAAGAUCUUGAGUUCGGGAGAGGUGAGUGGAACUGCGAGUGUAGAGGUGAAAUUCGUAGAUAUUCGCAAGAACACCAGUGGCGAAGGCGGCUCACUGGCCCGAUACUGACGCUGAUGCACGAAAGCGUGGGGAGCAAACAGG
rnacentral:rRNA from 1 species